rnacentral:rRNA from 1 species
UACGGGGGGGGCGAGCGUUGUUCGGAAUUACUGGGCGUAAAGGGUUUGUAGGUGGUCUGCUAAGACAGAUGUGAAAUCCCCGGGCUCAACCUGGGAACUGCAUUUGUGACUGUAGAGCUGGAGUGCGGCAGAGGGGGAUGGAAUUCCGCGUGUAGCAGUGAAAUGCGUAGAUAUGCGGAGGAACACCGAUGGCGAAGGCAAUCCCCUGGGCCUGCACUGACGCUCAUGCACGAAAGCGUGGGGAGCAAACAGG